UUUUUAAUUUUAUUGUUAAUUGAUUUCAAAAUCUUAAGGCAUUAUAAAUCUAUUAGGUGUGAUUGUAAAUUUGGAAGAGGUGGUGGCAUUCUUUUAUUCAUUAAAUCGUUAUCAACAGUCGAUUGAGAGGAGAGUUUAAGGGGACCGUCUAAUUUUAAAAGCAAUGUUAAUUUUCCAUAAGAGAUUUAAAAAGCACAAAUCUUAAAAAGUUUUUAUUAUUUAAAAAUUUAAACUACACCAUUAUAAAGGUAUAAGCUAUAGCUAUUAUAUGAAGCAGUUUCAAAUUUUAAUAAAAAUUCUAUCUAUUUUUUUUAAUCGUUUAUAAAAUUCCGGUUUUAAUUCAGAAUUAAGAUCUCUCAUCUUAAACUCGCAAUAUUUCAGUUAAUAAUGGGCCAAAGUUAACCAAAUUACUUUAUACUAAUCUGGGAACAUUUCUAAAUACGAUAGUCAAAAAAAAUUUUCAAAGAAAUGAAUAUUUUUUGAGAUUUGUGCUUUUUUAGCCAGCCGGUUACGACCCCAAAAUUUGUUUUACGGCUCUUAUGGACGUUUGUUAAUAUAUGAGAGAGAGGGGUCUGAUCUCCUCUUUCAAGAAUUUAGUUCAGCCGUUUUUUCUAUGGGCUGUUGUAGAGGCGCCACUCGUCCUAGCUCUCCCUUCCUAAUCCUUAUCGCAAGAAGCAACAUCAACACGACAACGAUGACCGGCAAGGGGAAAGUUGUAGGAAAUUUAAAUGCCAAUCCAAUGCCGCUUUGAGAACGAUUUUAUCUUUUUUCGUUUUUGAAAUAUUUUGAAAAAAUAAGAAAGUUGCAUUUUUGUGAAAAAGUGCUGUUUUUUGUGAACUUUAGAUUAUAUUGACAAUUUUAAUUUUUGUGUGUUUGUGACAAAAAGUAUUUCUUAGGUAAGUGUCUAUGAUCAGCUCUCUAGAUAUCUACAGGGGUGAUUUACGAGAAAAUGUUAAUACUUCAGGUGAGUAUUCCGGGCCUAAAAGUAAACAUGAAAGUUUUCACAAAUACGGGUUCGCAACGCCUUCGUUUCCGAAAUACAACUUUUUAUUAAAUUUUUGUAUUUUUUAAAUAAAAUCUUAGAUAUUGUGAUAAUAUUGGAGCAAAAAUUGGUGUCGGGGGGUUUUUUGGUAUGAUAAAUUCGAAUAUAAUCUUAGUAUGGCUCUUCCUUGUUGAAGGCGCCACUCACAUACAUAUAUAAAAACUUUAACACCCUGUAUUUUGGAAACGAAGGCGUUGCGAAUCCAUCAUAUUUGUAUAAACUUUUAUGUUUAUUUUUGGGCCCUGAAUACGUAUCUAAAGUAUUGACAUUUCUUCAUGAAUCACCCUGAAUAUGUAUGUAUUUACUGAAAAUAGGUGUUAAAAUGAAAGAGAAACAAACAAAAACUAGAAGCUAUUUUUUGUCAGUUGACGGUAGGUAUAUAUUAACGUGGGAUUCUAAAUCUAUUAAGUUUUGUGAUUGUGGAAUGUGGCAAUUUUUUAUUAUAGGGAGGGUAGUUGUAACGAGAAGUUGGUUCGUAAAGCAGAUAUAUUAUGUAUCACAUAUCAAUUUAUACCAUUUUUUAACAUAUUUUUUAGUGAAACUACUGGUAAAAAAUGUCUUUCAAAAAACGAAAUUCAAAAGCAAAAGCUGCUCAAAAUCGUGAGCGCCGACCAAAAGCUUCACUUGCUGUAAAUAGUAUUUUAGCUACCAUUCUUGAAGACGUUUUUAAAAUAUGUGACAAUAAUGCUGAGUAUGGUUUUUUCAAUGAUCCGGAAUAUAUCGAAGAAUGUCAGAGAGUUGAUGAGCACAUCUUGGAAGUUGAGCAAGUUCAAGAUACUGAAAAUAUUUGUGGAAACAGGAUUUUUUUUUGGAGACCACUAUUUCUGCACAAUAUGAACAUACAAAGAUUUGUCCAUUUGGGAAAUUGAUUUAUAAAAAGGAAAUUCGCCUUGGCUUAAGGAGCACUUUUAUUGUGCAAUGCAAUAAAUCUGUUUCUCUUUUUAAUGAGCAUCCUAAGAAGGAAAAUUCAGUUUUUAAUAAAGCAUUGGUUUGGGCAACGAUUGCAACUGGUAGCACAUAUGCGCAUACACAGGAAUUUUUAAGUGUCUUGGACAUUCCGGGACAAACUAAGUCUAUGUUUUACAACGCUCAAAGGAAACUUAGUCAAGUAUGGAAAGAUGAACUUAUAAAUUCCAUGAAUAAUGCCGGAAAAGAAGAAAAGGAAAUUGCCAUUAAAAAUGGAAAUGUUGACAAACAAGGGAUUCCUUGCAUUUCCGUGCUUAUGGAUGGUGGGUGGUCAAAAAGGAGUUGGUAAAGGAGAGUGGCAGUUGUUGUUGGAAAAGCUACUGGAAAAGUCCUUUUUCUGGGAGUGAGGAAUAAAUAUUGUUCCGUUUGUGCCAAGGCGACAAAUGAAAAUAAAGAAGUACCUGAGCACAUAUGCCUUAAAAACUGGAGCGGUUCUUCCAGCGCAAUGGAGUAUGAUAUUAUUGUGGAGGCUUUCAAAUCAAGUAUUGAAAGCCAUGGUUUAAAGUACACCAAAAUAAUUGCCGAUGGAGACUCAACCGUAUUUUCAAAAAUACGUAAAUAUGUCUCUUAUGGUUUAGAAGAAGUAUAGUAUAAAAUUAAGUGAUAUACUUAAUAUGAUUUUAUUAUAACUAUUUAAGGUACAAAAGGCUGAAUGUAUUAAUCAUGUGAUGAAAAAUUUUGGAAAAGCUCUUUAUAAAAUAAAACAGGACACAAAAGAGGUACCUCUUCAGGCAAGAAAACUUUUAAGUCGAGAAAUUUUAGAUGAAUUAUGUCACUCGGUUCAGCAUGCUAUUUACACCAACAUUAAUGAUGUUAUUACCCUCAAAUGCGAUAUCAAAAAUUCCGUUUUUCAUGUUUUUGGAAACCAUGAAACCUACAAAGACUAUCUUUGCACAAAUGUAGGCAACAAAUCACAAAACAACUGUGAUAACUUAAUGGCUUCUGGUUUACAUCACCAUCUACAAGCAGCUCUUAAUAACCUUUCAAGCAAGGCGCAUCUCCUUUUAGAUAAGGAAACAAAUAAUAGAGCUGAGUUAUUUAUGAGCCUUUUAGCAAGGUUUAAUAUGGGAAAACGACUUAAUUUAAUUCAGAGGGACUCAUUUGAAAUCAGGUAUAUUGUAACAGGGCUAAAAUAUAAUUAUGGUUAUAAAAUGGCAUGUCAGUCCCUGGAAAGAAACCUUUAAGCGGAGUCCAGGAAAAUCGCUUCAAAAGUUUAUAUCCCUACAGGAAAAAAAAGAAAAAGUGACCGAGAUUCAAGAAGACCGAAAAAGCGGCGCCUAAAUUUUAAAGAAGAAACGGUUCCUGACUACGGUCAAGACAUUGCCGAAAUCUUGCUUACUCCAGAGCAACAAGUUGUUAAACAAUUCAAGGUUACUAAAGAGGAUUUAUUCAAAUAUCCCAAUCUACUGUCGGGCAAUUUGAUAAUCCUCUUUACCUAACUCACCGAUUGAAUAGGCUAACUGCUUCUAAUUUUGGGGCAGUAGUUAAAAGAAGAACCGCUACGCCUUACGAUGUUUUAGUGAAAAAAAAUAUUAUCGGGUUCGCAAGAUUUUUAAACAGCAAGCACAAGAUAUGGAAAACAAAACGAAUUAGUAGCAAUAAGCGUCUUUUUUUCAGAAAAAACCGGAAAGUUGUGGCACCUGCAGGCUUAUUUAUUGAUCUAAAUUAUGGUUUUUUGGCUGCAUCAUCGGAUGGUAAGAACUAUUUAACCAAGUUAGAAAUUUGUACCCAUACACAUUCUUGUAGGCAUAAUUAACGAAAACGAAAUUGUAGAGGUUAAAUGCAGCAAUUUAAAAUUGCCCAUUCUGAAAAGACCUUUGAAGCUGCAGUUAAGGACAAUGAAAUAACCUAUUUAGUAGAAAAUGAUUCGCCCAUCAUGUUAAAAGAAUCACAUGAUUACUAUUUUCAGAUUCAAGGGCAGUUGGCCAUAACGGGGGCAAGUUUAUGUUAUUUUGUUGUCUAUUCCGGACCCAAAAAUGAGCUUUUUGUUCAAAAAAUUCCAAAAAAUGAAGAGGUUUGGAAUAACAUAAUGCUGCCUAAAAUGAAACAAUUUUUUCUGGAAUGUGUAGCUCCAGAAAUCGUUUUAAAACAAACCGAAGUGCCUUGAUCCUCAGUUUAUUUUAGAUGCACAAAAAAAAGGGAGAUAAAGAAGAAAUAAAGAAAUGAAAGUAAACGUUUUUUUACAUACAUACAUAAUUAUAUGUAUUUGUUUUAAAUUUGUAUUAACUUUUUUAGGUGGGCGAGACUCUUGAUGUAAUUGCCAAAAAUACAAAAUUGAAGAAAACUAGUUAUUAUUUUAAAAACCUUAAUUAUUUAUUUACAUAUUUAAUUAUUUAAAAACAGUGUGAUUUGUAGGUAACUUAUAUUUUUUAAAUGGCGUCACAAAAAUUGACUGUAAA
rnacentral:lncRNA from 1 species